GGUAUAGCCAAGUUGGUAAGGCAACGGGUUUUGAUCCCGUGAUUCCCAGGUUCGAGUCCUGGUACC
rnacentral:tRNA from 1 species